rnacentral:rRNA from 1 species
CCCUUAGAUGUUCUGGGCCGCACGCGCGCUACACUGAUGCAUUCAACGAGUUUCUUCCUGGUCCGAGAGGAAUGGGUAACCUUUUGAAAGUGCAUCGUGAUAGGGAUAGACUAUUGCAAUUAUUGGUCUUCAACGAGGAAUUCCUAGUAGACGUUGUUCAUCAGACUGCAUCGAUUACGUCCCUGCCCUUUGUACACACCGCCCGUCGCUCCUACCGAUUGAAUGCUCAGGUGAGCCAUUCGGACUUUCAUCAUGCUGGUUUCCAGUUUUGAUGAAGGAAAGUCUUGCGAACCUUACCAUUUAGAGGAAGGAGAAGUCGUAACA